CUGCCACAGAACUCAAAUGUGGCAGAACUGGGAUGAGACUUGGGAGACUGGCUGUCUUUUCACUGAUGGUGGAGUCAGGGCCCCCCCACGCACAAGGAGCAGGCUGUGUGGAAGGUGGAGCACAUCUUGUCUGCUGUUCGGACUUGGAUGAUGAUUAGCAGUUAUGAAGUGGCCCAGACACCUAGCCAUUCUUUAGUAAGAGUGAA
rnacentral:sRNA from 1 species